AAAUAGGCAGUAUUUUAUUUGCUUUUCAUUACAGCUGAUCCUAUAGUCAACUGAUGCUAGGGGUGUGCAAUAAGAUUUUCACUGUUCUAGACAAGAUUUGUCUGAUGUGGUCCUGAGGGAGUAAUGCUUAACUCAUGCUUAAGUGGAACAUUCCAUUUCAUAAACAACUUCCUGGAAGUGCAUUUAUCCUUAACUGAGAAUGCUGGGGGAGGGGGAACAUGGGGAAGGGAGAAAGGGGAGAAAGAAUUAAGUAUCCUAUUCUAGUCUGUUAAUAUGCUAGAAGAUAAUUCAGACUUUGUUCAUACAAGUAUUUCUGCAAAAUACAGUGAUUUCUAAGAAAGCUAUAAAGUUUAUCUCUAAAUAAAAUCUCCCUGAACAUUAAUACAGAGAAUGAGCAAAGAUAUUUUCCAAUGUAAAUGAUUCUAUGAUUCUAUAAUCCUAGAAGAUGUACCUUUGGUACCCUUUAUUAAAAAUUUGCCUUUGUUAAAUAACUGACUUGUAUUAGCUGGUCCUGACUUGCAACAAAUUUCUUGACAUAUAUUUUGUUUUCCCUCUUAAGAAUAUGAUUUUUUUCUUCAUAACUUUGAGGUUUUGACCCCAUGCAUUUCUCAGAACAAAUGUUCCAGGUAAGUUCCGUUGAUGAUUUUUGUCAUCUAUGCAAAAUCCAGACUUAGUCACCACUUAAAUCUCUACAAGUAUACAACAUCACAGAAUUUCACCUGCCUGAUGUAAAGACAAACCAAAAGAAAUACUGGAAUGCACAUAUCCAUUGGAAAGAAGUUACUCUGUUUCAUGGGGCUUGUGCCAAAUGAACACCUUGUUAUGGAUUACUGCAAAGCACAGUUGUGAAGCCAGAUUUUGAGGCUAUGGGAUCUCCAACACUGAAGGUAUGGAAUUGAUCCAUUUUAAGAGAGGUGGUAACUACUUGAGGUUUCUUCUGCAUUACUUUUAUUGAUUCUUCUACACUCCAAUAAGAAUUGUUAUUAUAUAAACAUCUGUGAGAAGAGAAGCUGAAACAGCAAGGCAAGAAUGAUAAUCACAAUAAAAAUUGCCAAAGGAAAGAAAGUCUUCUACCAUAGCUCCUGCCUGAGUGGUCACUAAAGAAAAUUAGUGACUAUUUGAUUUUUUGCUUUAGAGAUAUAUGGAAGGAAACAAGAAAAAACAUGGAAAAGAAAAAAGCCUGAGUUAUCCAAGUUCCAUUAAUAAUCCAUUUUAUUUCACCAGCCAGAUUCAAAUUUCUUAGAAAAUAGUAUAUUUUUCCUACAAAGAACAGUAGAGUAGAUGUGAUGAAAAUGUGCAUUGUGCUGGCUGUUCAAAAAGUGCCUUAUUAAAUUAAAUUUAUAAAUUAAAGAAAGAAACACUACAAUGCCUCUCAGGUGGAUUCCCCAGGAAUCUUAGGCUGCUACAGUUAACCAUAUAUUCCAAGUUCUGUGGAAUUAUAAUGUGAGCAUAGAAAGAUUUAGUAAGGAUAGAGUCAUAGAGAGUGAAAACAGUGCUGAAUUAUGCUGGUAACUGCACUGAAGUGCACCACACUACUAAGUCUUCAGUGUGAGCAUGUUUCACAGAGAACAACAAAAGUACAUAGUAAUAGAUACAGUUGCUAUAAUUACUACAUAAAUACUCACACAUUAAAAUACAGGAAAAAAAAAACCCAAAACAGUGUUAUAUUGGAAUGCAAGAUGAGUGAGCACUUGUUGCAGAAAGAAUGCCUGACUAAAAAAUCCAAGUGUGAGCCACAUGCUUACCUCUGCAAGAGACCUCAGAAUAUUCAUGAAAGGUAUAGUAUUUUGAAUUAUUGAUCCAAGCCUUUAACAUUUUACAUUUGGUCAAAGAAUACUACUUGAGCACUCUGUUCAUGACUUGUUUUUCAGGAAUUCUAAAGCAUGAAAUAGUUUGAAGGACUUCAAAAAUGUGGACCUCUAAUUGGUUGCAGGACAUUUUAUUAUAUUUGCACUUUUCAAGGCAAAUUUGGAGCAUGUGGUUAGCAGCUGCUGAACUAUGUUCAGAGUUCUGCAAGAUAUCACUUGGGAUUCCUACUUGUAUAAUUUACAUGUUUAAAUCUAAAAGAAGGAGAAAAAGUGGAGAAGAGUGAAAAACAAAGCCAUGGUGGGGAAAGAACAUGUCAUGGACACCUUUUGCCAUCAAGCAUGAUCAUCCCAUGCUAUCAAAGCAUUUAUCUAAGCCUUACAGACUGUCAGAUAGAGUGGUUACACAAAGGGUGUAUAAUUUUUUCAUCUUUUCAGAAAAAAAGACGAUUCAGUUCAAUAAAAAGUAUGGAAUAUUAC